CAUAGCGAGAUCCUCUCUCUACUUUUUGUAAAAAAUGUGGAAAAAAAGAAAAAGCAAUUGGAAUCAGGGCUUACAAAAUGAGAACAGGAAAAAUAACAAAGUGAGGUGUGAAGGUAGCAUGCAAAAUGCAAAUAUCACUCUUAGUUCACCCCUAUGUAAGCAAAAGAGACUUAAUGAUUAAUUGCCAUUUUCUUUGUGAGACUCAAACCCCAUUUAUACUGCUUAUGAAUAAACUUCAUAUUGUAAACAUACCUUGAUUAAAAAUUAAGUGAUGAUUUAGAACAUCACAUAAACUUUCUAAUUUCCACCAUGAUAGAGAGAAAGAUGGGACACCCUUUUGUGAUUAUUCAAAAUAUUGGCCAAUUCUCUGGCAUUGCUGAAGAUACAUGGGUAAUAGCAGCACUUCAUUAGUAGGUAGAAAAAUGGAUGCGGUGCCUCUAAUUCUGUGCAACUAUCUUCAACUAUUUUUCCAACUCUUUCUGUGACCAAAUUCUCUGUCUCUCUCCCUCUCUCCCCACUCUGUCUCUCCCUUCAUCCUUACUUGUUUUUGUUGGGUAAUUUUUGAAGUUAAAACAUGCAGGUCCAUUGAGAUUUUCCUAGUAGAACAAAACAGCUAGAGCUUUGCUUAAUCCUGAGGCGUUUUACUUCUCUCUUAGUAAUCUUAGUCCCCUCUGGCAUAAUAUGGGCUUACUGCUGUGACUCUGUUAGCUGAACCAUCUGGAUUGUUGUUUUUUUUAAAUUUAAUACUGCACCUAUCAUCACCCAAAUAUGAAAGUUCUGCUUUCUCCAGGCACCUCCAUAUCCAUAUAAGGUAUUUUAUGUAGCUGUGCCAGGGGGAUCCAAGGAAAAAGAUAUUAAACUUGAUUUUGAAGCUAUUUCUGAAUGUUGCUUGGUCUAAUGACUGCCCCGCUCCGGUCUUUCGGAAUAGAAAAUGUGAGUAUGAGUGCGAGUGAGAGUGUAGUGGGUGGAACUGGGGCAGCUGUGAAGUGGAGGGUAGUCAUAAUCACUUGCGAUGGGAGAGAGGGCCUGAGCAAGCACUGUGGAGUUGUUUCUACUGCUGGGAUAUAUAUUGCAUUCUUUUAUUCAGAGCCAGAGGCAGGUACCUGACUAGGAUAUUUGUUCAGCUCUCUUGUAAUGGUGACUUUAUUUUUAUCUCUCUUUUUUAUCUUUUUGGAGAUAUUCUUUUCUGCAUCUCAGACACCAGCCAGAAGGUAUUGGUGAUACCAUUACAGAAGAGGAAACAGAGACUUAAAAAGAUGAAAUGACUUACUUGGGAUUACACAGCUGGUACAAGUAAGCUUUGAAUCCAGCUGUGAGCCAGUUGUAAAUAGGCUGAGAGCACGGAGAAUCUGCAAGAAGAGAAAAGGAACAGCUCAUGUGAGCCUGUGGCUGUGCAUUUUCCAGAGGAGGAGGACUGGAUGUCCAUCCCACACACAGAAUGACAAACGGAGCACAGGAUGCAGGGUCUGAGAUGCUUUCUACGUCCUGUUGGCUCUCACAGGCUUGCUCUCUUGGUUUGUUUUUAUUGGUUGGCACUGCCAGGGUGUCUAAUAUAUUCACCAAAAAUAGAUUGAAAUAACAGCACGCUGUAAAGGCUUUCUUGAUUUUCUGUGCCACUGAUCCCCAGGUAUCUUCUAUGUGUUACGCGGUAUAUCCUUAAUAAUGUUUUAGUUUCUGGAAUAAAUCAUCUUCUAAUUAAAUGUGUGAUUGAUAUUAAAAUAAGUGGGGUGGCAAAUGUCUUGGAAGGUGGAAUAAAAUGCAGAAUGUACUAGGCAAGUUGGAAAAGUGAAUGCAUCUAAACAGAAAAUUCAAAUGGGAUUAAAUAUAGAGAAACUCACUUAGGGAGGAAAAAUCUCUCUAAAUCUGCAAAGGCAAAAUGAAGGAGGGCUGGCCUUCUACAAAGAUGUCAGAAAGCCAUAGUGAACCCCAGGCUGAACCCUCCCUGUGCUGCAAUGGAGGCAGUGAAUACAACCCAGAGGGGCCUCACAGAAGCCAGAGUAUGUGGGAAGGGCAUCACUACUUGUCCUCCCUGCCUGCCCUAGUUGGCAUUUUUUUGAGUAAUGUGUACCUUGGAAUAGCUUGAAGAGAAAUUAAAUCAGUGCUUCUCAAGAUUUAGUUGCAUCAGAAUCACCUGGAGGGCUGUUAGAGCACAAAUCCCUGGGCUCCACCCUGACUUUCUGAUUUAGUAAGCCUGGGUUGGGGCUCAAGAAUUUGCAUAUCUAACAAGUUUUCAGGUGAUGCUGCUACUGUGGGUUGGAGGACCACACAGAUUUUGGAAGGAGCUUCUCUUGGAAAAAGAGUCAAAGCACAUGGAUCUGCUAUGUCUAGACAAAAGAAGCCAGAGCCCAGACAUAAUAAGAAUUUUGAUUAAGUAGGAGGGUAUAAUGAAUGCCUGAGCCUUACUGAGGAGUUCAUUCUACUGUGGACAAGAGCACAAAUUCAAUUUGCUGAGAAAUUUAGGGUUGACAUCAGGAUGAUCUACCUUAAAACAUUUGGAGGACCUGAAAUAUGAUACAAAGGAGAUUUUAGCUAUCUUUGUGGGAAAUUUGAAAAGAGGAGGAAGUUAUCCUUUUGGCAGGGCUUAGGAGACUUACUGGGUUUUGCUUCCUGCUUUAUUCUAUGACAGUGAAACAUCUCUUCAAUGCAAGUAGGAAGAAGAGCCCCACAUGUGAGGGUCCAGUACAUGUGCCGCCUAUCAGCAGGGGAGUAAGUAUGGCAGAAACACCAAUGGCCUCAAGAUAGAGAAGGACAGCAGCAUAUCCUGUACCAGGCACUAUGAAGACAUGAGGAAGUGGGGAGUGUUAGAACGAGAGAAGGAUUUAGUGGAGAUACCUCAACAUAGGCAGAGAAGGCCAAAGCAGUCACAAAACAAGCUUGGAACGUGCAAUGAAAGCUCAGCAGGUACAAAUGAUGGAAUGGAAGUUAGAGUUCAGUGCAGAGCUGCAAAUGAGGGAUUAUAUACAAUUGAGAUAAUGAGGUGGGAGAGCAUGGAGAGAGGAAGGGGUUGACAUUCAGAAAAGAAAUAAACAGAGAAGACAGUGCUGCAUGGAAGGACUUCCCAAGCCUCUGGCAGGCACAAAUUUGGAACAUACUGGGAAGUGACAGAAGUCACAGAAUUGGAAAGACACAGAAGGGCCGGAGCUGGGCUUCUCUGGAAGCAUGGCUAGGAUGCUGGUGUCCUAGACAGUGAAAUACGAUAAUUUGGCAGCAAUUAAGCAAAACACAAGUGACUGAGCACCCACCAUGGGCUGGGUCAUGAACUGUGUGGAUGAGGCUGAAUCAGUUUGGUGGCUACUUUCAAAUGUAAACUCCUAAUGAUGAUAGAGUUUGACAAAAAUGAAUGGAGUGGGUGAAGGUGGGACAAGGAGCAGAGAUGAAGGAGAAAUGCUUCACGGAGAGCAUUCCGAAAGGCUUUACCGAGGAGGGAGGGAUUCAGGGCAGAGGAGGGAGAGUGGAUCCAGAUCCCAGAGGAUGCAUAAGCAGGAGCUUGUCAGACAGGGAAGGUGGGAAGAGGUUCCAGGCCAGGGGCACAGAAUGCACAGAAAGUACGAAUGAACUGUGUCAGCCGAACUUGGCAGGGAGUGAGACCGGAGAAGUGAGCUAUCCAGAUACAUGGCUGGAAGGUCAAAGGGCUGCUCUGCGUUGGGACCACCCAUAUACAUUUCACCCACCUAGGCAAACCCUUAGUCUAUUUUAGAUACCUGGUGGGUGGGAAUGCCUCAUUUCUAUCUCAUUCUGGGUGGCUUGAGAAAAAACUGAGAAUCAGUGAUUCAGGCCAGGGCUAGGAAGGAACACUGAUUUUUUUGAAAAUUAGUAAGUGAACACAUUUUUGUAUUUACUUGAAAAAUAAUGGAUGGAUUUUGAUAAUUGCAUGGCAUUUU